CGCCUGUUUAUCAAAAACAUGUCUUUUUGAAUUUGAUAUAAAGUYUAAUYUGCUCCAUGAAUGAAUUUAAAUAGCUGCGGUAAUUUAACCGUACAAAGGUAGCAUAAUCAAUAGUUUUAUAAUUUAAAGCUGGAAUGAAUGAUUUAAUGAAAUAAUUAUUGUCUCAAUUAUAUUAAUAUUAAAAUUUUUUUUUUAGUUAAAAUACUAAAUUAAAUUUAAAAGACGAGAAGACCCUAUAGAUUUUUAUUUUUAAAAUAUUAAUUUUUAAAAUAUUAAAAUUUUGUUUAAUAUUUUAAAAAUUAAGUUGGGGAAAUGUUUAAAUUAAUUAAAUUUUAAUUAAUAAUAUACAUUAAUUAUUGGUUAUUUAAUUAUAAAAAUUUAUAAUUUAGGAUAAAAUACCUUAGGGAUAACAGCGUAAUUUUUUUAGGAAGAUCAUAUUUAUAAAAAUGUUUGCGACCUCGAUGUUGAAUUAAGAUAAAAUUUUAAUGUAGAAAUUAAAAAUUUUUGGUCUGUUCGACCAUUAAAAUCUUACGUGAUCUGAGUUCA
rnacentral:rRNA from 1 species